AUUGAACGCUGGCGGCAGGCCUAACACAUGCAAGUCGGAACGGCAGCGGGGGGAAGCUUGCUUCCCCGCGGCGAGUGGCGGACGGGUGAGUACUGCCUGGGGGAGCUGCCCAAUCGAGGGGGAUACCAGUUGGAAACGACUGCUAAUACCGCAUACGCCCUGAGGGGGAAAGGCGGGGAUCUUCGGACCUAUCGCGAUUGGAUGCACCCAGGUGGGAUUAGCUAGUUGGUGAGGUAACGGCUCACCAAGGCGACGAUCUCUAGCUGGUCUGAGAGGAUGACCAGCCACACUGGAACUGAGACACGGUCCAGACUCCUACGGGAGGCAGCAGUGGGGAAUAUUGCACAAUGGGGGAAACCCUGAUGCAGCCAUGCCGCGUGUGUGAAGAAGGCCUUCGGGUUGUAAAGCACUUUCAGCGAGGAGGAAAGGUGGCUAGCUAAUACCUAGUUGCUGUGACGUUACUCGCAGAAGAAGCACCGGCUAACUCCGUG
rnacentral:rRNA from 1 species